AUGCUUACUAUGGAGCAGAGAAGAGACACAGCAGAGCACAGCUUGAAGGUCGUCCGAGUAGUCAGGUCCCUGUUGGAUGCUUCUGUUACUUCCUAUGGGAUGCGAUCAGGAGGAUGGGUUCAAACCCAGAAUUUUCACUGUACACCAGGACUUCAGGAGCCAGCUGCAAGUCUGAGAAACGCAUGCCCAGCUCUUCUGUGGAGUCCUGACCUGCACUCACAUGGGUGUUCCUCACAAGCAGAUGCUAGCUCCAAACAUUACACUUGGUCUCUAUUGAAGGGCUCCCACAAGUAUCAGUCCUGGACUGGGGGAUGGAGCACAGGCUGGACAAUGCCAUUCACGAUUGAGCCACCAGGACCAGAUUGAGGGAACUAACACAGAAUCGUCUGCAUAAUGGGCAGGGCACCGCCUGAAACUGCCCAGGUCUCCCUUUGCUUCCUGAGGAUGGAGAAAUCCCUGUAUUCUUGGCUCUCAAAAACUUUCCUGAUCUGUCAAAUGGGAUUGAAGAUGCAAUUACUUAUUUAUGAACGAAAUUUAAAAAGGCACAUUAAUAAAUUAUGUGAAUCCAUUUUUUUCUAAAAAUAC
rnacentral:lncRNA from 1 species